rnacentral:snRNA from 1 species
CAACUCUGGUUUCUCUUCAAAUAGCAUAGAUAUUUUGCUUUUUACUGAAGAUUUCCAUGGAGAAGAACAGUAUUGAUUUUUAACUCAAUUUUUUGAGGUCUUGCUUGGAGU